UAAUUUUCCUCUUCCUCUCGCACCCGGGAUUGAGGUUUUUUCAAUGGAUUUAUCUUUCUGCGUGCAGUUUGUAGUGCCAUCCGGUGGUCUUCAAGCCUUCCGAUAUGAUUUUGUUGCUGGCGAAGAAGAUCGAGCGACCGCAAGAUCUGUGUCACGGCAAAUGUUUUUUAAGUCAAGGUACUGUCUUUGUUAUCCCCCCAGGCCCCCUGUGAUUCAUUAUGAAUGCCUCUUUUUUAAACCGCUAGUAUGGGUAUGGGAUAUUGUAUGUGAUAGUAGUGAUUGCUGAAGAAUAUGUAAAUUUAAUGACAAUUACAUCGCAAUUGCUAGUGGUAUGAUGUUAUGCUGGAGUAGAUGUAAUGUUCAAUUGAUUAUUGCGUUGUAAUAUACUGUCAAUGUAAUCACCAAUAAUUUCUUCGUUCACAUAAAUUAAUUAUUA